AAGAUGUAUGCACCACCAAGCUAUGAAGCUAUGUCGUACCAUGAACAUGUCCGAAGAUGCCAUGAAGAAAAGGGUUGUCUUUAUGCUUGGUUAGGAUGAGUUUAAUCCUUCAAAAUUUUUAAACAAAACUUCUUUUUUUCUUUGUUUUUUUUCUGCAAUC